rnacentral:rRNA from 1 species
UACGAAGGGGGCUAGCGUUGCUCGGAAUCACUGGGCGUAAAGCGCACGUAGGCGGACUCUUAAGUCGGUGGUGAAAUCCUGGAGCUCAACUCCAGAACUGCCUUCGAUACUGGGAGUCUCGAGUCCGGGAGAGGUGAGUGGAACUGCGAGUGUAGAGGUGAAAUUCGUAGAUAUUCGCAAGAACACCAGUGGCGAAGGCGGCUCACUGGCCCGGUACUGACGCUGAGGUGCGAAAGCGUGGGGAGCAAACAGGGAUUAAGAAAC